rnacentral:rRNA from 1 species
AACCUGUGAGCUAAUUGGCGGCUAAUUACUGCCGCCGUGCACCCGCCCGUCUGACGCACGGGAUACUCAUUGGAGUCUUGUUAUAUCAGCGGGCGGGAGACCAAUCGGGCGCAGCUCUGCGCCAAGGAACAAACGCAGCAUGGGCGGCAACGGCAUAUCCCAGAGCAUUUGUUUUGCGGAGUUGCCGCUGCUCGUCAAGAAUCAUAGGACUCUCGGCAAUGGAUAUCUUGGCUCUCGCAUCGAUGAAGAGCGCAGCGAAAUGCGAUACGUGGUGCGAAUUGCAGAAUCCCGUGAACCAUCGAGUUUUUGAACGCAAGUUGCGCCCGAAGCCACCUGGCCGAGGGCACGUCCGCCUGGGCGCCAAGCAUUGAAUCGCUCCACCUGGCCGCAACCAUCACCACGGCGUGAUGGUGCUGCCUCGGAUGCGGAGAAUGGCCCGUCAUGCGGCGACGCGUGGCGGGCUGAAGACCGGGAUGAUUUUCUCGCGGCAACGAUCGAUUAAUGGGUGGGAUGGAAGCCUCAUCUGUGCAUCGUUGCCUCGAGAGAGCCGAACAAAUCUCAGGCUAACCCAACUCGAGCGCUGCCGGAAGCAGAUUGAAAUGCGGCCCCAGGAUGGGCGGGGUGACCCGCCGAGUUUAAGCAUAUCAAUAA